UUUUUUUGGCUGAAUUAUGAAUGCAAUCAUAGAAUUUCUAUAUAAAAAAAAGACCUUUGGUCCUUGCAUUUUCUCCUUCCUAGACAUAUACUCAUCACUCUAUAAAUCUAUGUGUAAAACCCAAUUUCAAACUUAUAUGUAUAUAUACGUUAAAAAAAAUAUAAGUAUAUUAUUUACAACAAAAAAAAAAAUUUAACUAAGUUAGUUACUUUGUAAUUG
rnacentral:lncRNA from 1 species